GUUGGUAAAAUUCGUGUCGAUCUACUUCUCCAAUUUGAGUUUAUGCAAGGGAGUAAUGGCUCGAACAAAGAACCUAACUGUAUCGAAUCCUAGAGACAAUCCUUGAAGAAGAAGAAACACCACUCGAAGUGGAUUUUGAAGCAACAGAUUCAAUCUCUCGCGGAAAUUCAACGAAUAUUUCACUGUCAUGGCUCUACAUUGGACCCCGAUAUCUGCAGCUUUAGUUCCUCGGGACAAGCCCACCGCAGAUGGAACUGGGGCCAAAGGGUAGGAGCUAGAGAUGCUGCUGGUGGUAGUAAUGGGCCGUCAUAUUUCAAAGGAUCAUAGAAUGGGUUACAAUGGACAUGAGAAGUUGCACUAAAUGAACGCAGAUCAGUCAAGUAUGCCCAUAGGCAUCCACAGGCAUCAGCAAUCCCACAUUGUUCCUUCUCUUUUUCACCAGCUCAGAUAUUGGUAAAACAUAAUAAUACCAAUUGUUUUCACAAUCACUUCAGUUUAGAGCUUCAAAAGAAA